rnacentral:rRNA from 1 species
AAUGAACGCUGGCGGCAUGCCUAACACAUGCAAGUCGAACGAAGGCCCCGGCCUUAGUGGCCCACGGGUGCGUCAGGCGUGGGAAUCUGCCCUCACGAUCGUAAUAACAGCGAGAAAGUGCUGCUAAUACCGGCCGAUAUCCAGAGAUCAAAGAUUUAUCGCCUGAGGAUGAGGCCGCGUAGGAUAAGCUAGUUGGUGUGGAAAAGGCGCACCAAGGCGACGAUCCUUAGCUGGUCUGAGAGGAUGAUCAGCCACACUGGAACUGAGACACGGCCCAGACUCCUACGGGAGGCAGCAGUGGGGAAAAUUGGACAAUGGGCGAAAGCCUAAUCCAGCAAUGCCGCGUGAGUGAUGAAGGCCUUAGGGUUGUAAAGCUCUUUUACCCGGGAUGAUAAUGACAGUACCGGGAGAAUAAGCUCCGGCUAACUCCGUGCCAGCAGCCGCAGUAA